AGUAAGCUAAUCUCUUAAAGCCGUUCUCAGUUCGGACUGUAGGCUGCAACUCGCCUACACGAAGUCGGAAUCGCUAGUAAUCGCGGAUCAGCAUGCCGCGGUGAAUACGUUCCCGGGCCUUGUACACACCGCCCGUCACACCAUGGGAGUUUGUAACGCCCAAAGUCGGUGGCCUAACCUCUAUGGAGGGAGCCGCCUAAGGCGGGACAGAUGACUGGGGUGAAGUCGUAACAAGGUAAC
rnacentral:rRNA from 1 species